rnacentral:rRNA from 1 species
UACGUAGGGACCGAGCGUUGCUCGGAAUCACUGGGCGUAAAGCGCACGUAGGCGGCUUUCUAAGUCAGGGGUGAAAUCCUGGAGCUCAACUCCAGAACUGCCUUUGAUACUGGAGAGCUUGAGUCCGGGAGAGGUGAGUGGAACUCCGAGUGUAGAGGUGAAAUUCGUAGAUAUUCGGAAGAACACCAGUGGCGAAGGCGGCUCACUGGCCCGGUACUGACGCUGAGGUGCGAAAGCGUGGGGAGCAAACAGG